AUAUUUUUUCAUUAAUAUAAUGUGUACGCAAUUAACCUCCUUAUGCUAUUCCUAAAAAAGCAUAACAGGUACUUCAAAUUUCUCUUUCGUUCUAAUUUCUUCACCCGGCCAUCAAACGCAAAGGCUACGAGGUUUCUUCAUCCGACCACCACACGAGUCAAGUCAUUCUUCUACCUUGAACGAUUAACCUAUUGGAAAAAUAAUAAUGUGAAGAGAGUCAAAUAUAAAGAGAAUAUGGAUGUACACAUUCAGCGACACGUCAUGAUGUUUGGUAACAUCUCCAUGUCAUUUUGUCUUCUUCCAGUGGGUCAUGGUUGCUUUCUUGUAGACUGGCUAGAAUGCUCUUUAUUGUCUUUGAGAAAAACAGUAAUGGCUACCCAUUGACAAUAUCAGGAGCUCAAUAACCCGUGAGAAGUUUGAAGAGCUCUGUGAAGAUAUUUGGGAAAAAUCUCCUAUACCAUUGAAAGAGUUUCUUGAGCAUUCAGGCUUGUCAGCAGAUCAAAGUUACAGAUGCUUUGUGCAGAUGAUGUUUGAGGUCUGCGUCCAAAAGAAGCUGCGAGAGAACAAAGGCGGAAUCGCUAAAGUCAUUUCACGUUGCCGUCAAGAUCCGGUAACCACAACACUACUCCCUUCGUUUCACUUCUCCGAUCUUACCACACCUUCAUGCCGAUGCUUCCGUUCUCCGACGCCGCUGUCAAUGUGAGCUAUCCAUUCUCUUACUGAUUGAUGUUUGAAUUUUGGAUUUGUUCUGAAUGUCGUAAAAGUUUUUUACCUCUGCAUCUGUUUUGAAAACCAUGAUAGUUUGAAAAAGUGACUUUUGUAAGUUUUGUUUGUUUUCUCUAUAUAUUCUUUUUAAGAUGACACUAAUGGCAAGUGGUUUCUUGUAUAUUACAUUCAUGGAUAUUCAUGGAUCUUUAAAAGUCAAACGAUUUAUUUCGAGGUGAAAUCCUCCCCAUUUCUCAAAAAAAAAAAAUGGAGAGCUCCAAUACUAAAGUUUUGAUAAAUAUUGUAUAUAUAUUUUUGAAAAAUGUGAUGUAUUUAUAUAAUUUGACUUUUAUAUUAUGAAAACUUUAGAACUCAUUUAUUUUGAAUUCUUUUACAGUUUUGUCGUGAAAAAAACUUGAGGCUAUAGUGGGAGAAUUGGUUUCUUAAUUUGUGUUCAUAAGUAUUUUUUUAAUAACUUGUUUUUUAUAUAGAAUUGUGAUCUUUAAUUAUUUUCACUUUAGCUUUUAUAUUUUCUUUCAAUAUUUAGAAAUGUGUUUUUUUAUAUUGAAUAUUGUGAUUUGUAAUUAUUUUCACUUUCGCUUUUAUAAUUUCUUUCAAAAUUUUAAAAAAUGUGUUUUUUGAUAUAGUUAAAAUUAUGGUUUGUAAUUAUUUCCAAGUCUAAGUUGUCGGAUUAUUUAUUCUUUUACUUUGUGUUACGAUUUCGGAGCUAAUUUCAAUUUAGCUCUCGAAUACGUAUGAACUCAAAUAUUUUCAUUGUCUGGCCUCAGAUAGGGUUAAUUCCUACAUUUUUUUAAUAAGCGCCGAGAGUUGCAAUUGUGUUGAUUCAAUCUUGUUGCCUAUUGUUCAAUACUUGUCCAAUACUUGUUUGAAAUGAUGAUGAGGCUAUCUUGUGUCAUUGCUUCUUGAUACUUAUGUGAUGAUUUAUAUGAUGAGCUUUAUUUGACAUUGCUUCUUACUUGUAUGGUUUGAUACCUCUCUUCCAUGUUCCAUGUUCCAUCUUCCCCUUUACUCAACAUGAUGUAAAUGUUCAAUUAGGAGACUCUUUAUGGUUUGUCUUGCUUACUUUGUGAUCAAAUCUUUAAACAUGCUUGGAGUGAGAUAUUUGUGAUACUCUUGAGUCUUUCAUGUUUGAUUAUCACCAUGUCUUUGCUUCUGACCUUGUUCUUCUCUUGAUGCUUAAUGCCAUGCCUAAUUGAUCACAUCACUUGUUAAGACUAGUCCACCUUCACUUGUCAAUUUUGCUUGAUACUUGUGUGCCUUGGUUGUUUGUACCAUGAAUUAAAUGCAUAUUUGAACUUCUUCUUGAUCUUGAGACUUGCGCUAAUUAAUUAUCAUGUUUAUACUUGUUUCUUCUUCUUCCCACUUUCCUUCCCUUUCAACUUGUUUUGCUUGUAGCAUUGCAUGAGGACUUAUGUCCUUAAGUUUGUUUGUGAUCCUUUCCUUGUGAGAUUUUGUUCUGAAUCUUUCUUAAGUAUGUUUAUGUGAUGAUGAUGAGUCCUUGUAUUUGCCUCUGACUUGUACACUUUAUCUACAUAAUGUUGCCUAAUUAGGAUGUUUCCUCAUCUUCUUGGUCCAUGAUACUUUGUUUGAAGUGGGAUUAGACCUAUAACAAGCUAGGGGCAGUAGCUUUGAGAUGUUUUGAUAGGUGUUGAUGAUAUUUCCUCUUGGUUGGUUAACCAUUGUAUACUUGCUUGGUCAAGUAGGUCUUACUUUAGGUAUCUUGGUUAAGUGUUUAUUUUGUGAUUAAAUGGUUACUUUCUCAUUUGAUGUGUGAUUGACUUUCAUGCCUUGGUUAAGUGUGUGAUUGUUUAUUUGUCAUCUUCUCUCCUACCUUCUUUGAUGACAUGAAUGCUACUUGGUUAAGUUCUUUUUGUGCUAUCUUUGUUCAACAUGUUAGUGCUUAGGUGGUUACCUACUGCAUGGGUGUUUGUUACUUUGAUAUUUGCUUAGUUAAGUAGGUAUUUCUCAUUUGAUGUGUGAUUGUUUAAUUGUUAUUUUCUCUUUUCUCUUUCUUUGUUAUUUUAUGGCAUGAAUGCUACUUGGUUAAGUGCUCGUUGUGUUAUCUUUGAUUAUGGUUGUUAGUGCUUGGCUGGUUUCUUAAUUGCAUGUUCUUUCUUCUUUAAUACCUGUCUGGUUGAGUAUAUAUUCUUUAAGUAUCUUGGUUAAGUGUCUAUUUUGUGAGUAAGUGGUUACUUCUCAUAUGUAUAUGUGCUUACUUUCAUGCCUUGGUUAAGUGUGUGAUUGUUUGUCUUCUUCUGUUUUCUUCCUUUGCGAGAUUGCAUGCUCCCCAUAGGAUCCUUUAGUUCAUUCUUGGUUAAGAUUGAACUAAAUAGACCUCAGGUUUUGAAUCCAUGUAUGACAACAUUAUGUAGAUCUUCCCUUAUCAUGACUUUAGGCCCACAAGCAUGACAACAAGUACGAUUGAAAUUCCAUUUUGAUUAGUCUUUUUCUUUUGCAUUCAUUCUGAAACAGAACUUUUCUUCUUCGAACUCUAAAAAAACAUUUAAUAAAUAAUGAUGAGAAUCACUUUCAUGAGCCUUAAGAAAUGGAAAAUGAUGAGUGAGUGCAGUCCAUAUCUUAUUCUUCUUUCAUUCAUAGUCUUUGGUGUGGUUCAAAUUACAAACUCUGACAAAUAACCAGAGGUACUGAGUUUAUUCAAAAAAAAAAAACCCAGAGGUACUGAGUGUCUCUACAAUGUAAGCCCCAGCCAAUUCAAAUCUUCGAACUCUAAAAAACACAAUAAAUAAUGAUGAGAAUCACACUUCCAUGGGCCUUAAGCAAUGGAAAAUGAUGAGUUGGUGCAAUCCAUAUCUUAUUCUUCUUUCAUUCAUAGUCUUUGGUGUGGUUCAAAUCACAAACUCUCACAAAUAACCAGAGGUAGUGAGUGUCUCUACAAUGUAAACCACAACCAAUUAAAAUCUUUUUCUUAACCUUUUUAGAAAGGAUGUGUUAUCUCAAAUCCAAGCAAAUUGGAAAUGCUAAUUAUACGAGUGGCCAAGUCUGGGUCUCGAUGAGCUGCAAUGCCAAGUACGAAUUGUAAUCCUAACCGCAAGAAUGCGAAUAUAGCAUUAUCCAUAAAAUGCACACAGCAAACCGAAACACCUUGUUAGGUGGACUAUGAGUGCCCUAAUCCUCCAUUGUAUGAUGGGGGUACGUAGGCAUAAAGGUUUGAAAUCGUGACAGACACAAUAAUGAAAACCUUUACUUUUUCCCUUAUCACUCGUGCAUUCCCUUAGCACUAGACUUUAGACUUAUAAAUUACACCCUUUGAUUAGUACAAAUUUGAGUGGAUUCUGUGGAAUAUCUCAGAUGCGAGGGGUGAUAAUAUCUUCCCCUCGCAUAAUUGACUUUCGUACCAUGUUCUUUGUUGCUAUCGUGAGACAUGUUAUUGCUCUUUCUUUGAGGUUUGCUGACAUUCUCUUUUCCCUGGUGGGAUAAAUAUGUUCAUUGGCGACAAACACAAAGAUUAAAAAAUCAUUGCAAAGAGACAUGAAAAAACAUUCGAGCUACAAGUAAACAUUAUUUUAGAUUCAUCAACUUUAAAGAAUAGAAUAAUUCCGUGAAAAUUUCAAGGAAGACGCACGUUAUUUGACAACAUAGUGAAAUUGACAUGGAAUAGUUAAAAACAUAACAAGGAAACAACGUUUGAGUUCUAAUCUAGAGGGGUUCAUGCCAUUUACUGUCGUAAUCAAAAUGAAUCCAUUAAGAUUUCAAUCAUAUGCUAACUAGAUUCAACAAAUUCCAAAUCAUUCUUAACCUAUUAUAGAGAUCAUAAACAAACAAAAAAACCAAACCAUUCUCAAUAACAACAAAACCUUAAUUCUCAAUAACAGCAUUUUAGGAAAAACAUUAUAAUUAAGUACCUGGUCUCAUAUGCGUUCUUGAAUAAUACUGCCAAAGUUGGUCCAAUGGAGCGCUGGCCAGAAAACCUCUCGAACUCAGGCUUCAUCAUUUUAACACAUCCUUGGUUUAGGAUGACCAUAGAAAUUCCUUCGUACGACCUAUUUCCAGUGGUACAAGGUAUCUCUUGAAUGCACCAUCCAUAAGGAUGAUGAUGUCACCACGUGAGACUUUAAGUUCAGACACAUGAAGUGCAAACGACAUGUCAUUUCCUAGAAAAAUGACCAUAUCUUUAGUGUCAUGAUUUCCAACCAUCUCUUUUCUGUUUCAUUCAAUUGAUAAGCUUGGACGCCUCUCAUCUUAGAAUAAGAUGACUUGUCAACAAGUAAGAGUGUGUCUAUUGCAUUAACCAAAUAUUUAUGCCUAGAUUGGUCAGUUAAAAUGAGUCUGAAGAAACCUUUGAGUGACAGUUUCUAUCGCAAGUUCAUUCUCCGACACUUUGAUAGUAGCUUUAGUCAGAUCAAUUACGUAAACGAAUCGAUUAAACAUGCAAAUAUCCAUCUUAAUAAGAAAUCCAUCCACAAUUGGAAAAGGUGUUAGAAAAUCAACACCUCAAUGUCUACUGAGAUAGAGAAAAGGCUUUUGACUUAACUUUGCUAAGCAGGGUUUUUUAUAUAGGAAAAUAGUCGCCCCAAUUCUCUGAGCAAUGUCGAUAUCAACUUUAUCUAUCAUGAAAACCAUCAGCUAGUUUCGAAACAGUGAGUUUGCUAAAGUUAAACCAACAGGGAGGGAAUACAACAAAUGAUGGUUGAGGGCAUCGACAUAUCAAUAACAACUCGAAAAUUCAGAUGUCUUACCUAGAUUAGUGAGUAUUCUCUGCCCUGUUGGUUUAAUUUUAGCAAACUCACUAUAUCGAAAUUAGCCGGAGGUGUUUUCAUGACCAAUGAGGUUGGUAUUGACAUUGCUCAGAAAAUUGAGGCGACUAAUUUCCUAUAUAAAAACCCCUGGUUAGCAAAGUUCAGUUAAAGGUUUUUUCUCUAUCUCAUUAGGCAUUGAGGUGUUGAUUUUCCAACACCAUUUCCAAUUGCGGAUGGAUUUUUUAUUGUGAUGGAUAUUUGCAUGUUUAAGCGGUCCGUUUACGUAAUUGAUCUGACUAGGGUUCUAUCAAGUUGCCAGAGAAUGAACCUGCGAUAGAAACCGUCACCCAAAGGUUUCUUCAGACUCGUUUUAACUGUCUUGACCAAUUUAGGCAUAAAUAUAUGGUUAAUGUAGCCGACACGCUCUUGUUGACAUGUCGUCUUAUCCUAACAUGAGAGACGUCCGAGUUUAUUGACCGAAUGAAACAGAAAAGAGAUGGUUGGAAAUUCUUGACACUAAAGAUAUGGCCAUCUUCCUGGGAAAUGACAUGUCGUUUGCAUUACAUGUCUCUGAACUUAAAGUCUCACGUGGUGACACCAUCAUCUUUAUUGAUGGUGCAUUCAAGAGAUACUCUUGUACAACCAGAAACAAACCGUAUGAAGGGAUUUCUAUGGCCAUCCUAAACCAAGGAUGCGUUAAGAUGAUGACGCCCAAGUUCGAGAGGUUAUUCUGACUAGCGCCCCAUUGGACCAACUUUGACGGAAUUAUUUAAGAACGCAUAUGAAAUCGGGUACUUAAUUAUAAUGUUAUUGAAAAUUAGGUUUUGUUUGUAAAUGAGAAAUACUGAGUAUUAGAUUUUUUUUUUCUAUAAUAGGCUAACAAUGAUUUGAAAUUUGUUUAUGAUAGAAAUCUUAAUGGACUAAUUUUGAUUAGGACAGUAAAUAACAUUAAAACAUUUCCCUGUGUUAUGUUUUACUAUUCCAUGUCAAUUUGACUAUGUUGUCAAAUAAUAAUGUGCAUUUUCGUUCAUUUCUUCAUGUCUUGCUUGGAUUUAUUGGAUGAGAUGAUAAGGGAUAUCUUUCAAUUUAAAAAUGUUUUGAGUUCGAAUUCAACCUGGACACGCAACAUUGUUAAUUUUUUUUUAGGGAGACUUUUAUCGUCCAUUGUAGUCUUUCACGCCUUUAGGGAUUAGUCUUUGCAUGUCUGAUACAUAAUAAUUUUUUCCUAUCUUAUACUUUCCUACGAGUUUAUUUAUUAAAACAAAGUGCAUAAUGAUGUGAAUGAAAAAAAAUAAAAUAGAAAAUUGAGUUAAAUUAAUGUAAUAAAAAAUGUUUGUGUUUGAAGAGAGUGGGUAACCUUGAGGUGCUAGAAAAAUCCUCUGAAGAUCCCUAAAUUGAGAUAAAAGUUGUCAAAGCCUAACAUGAUCCAUAUGAGAAGGAAUGCGGUGCUAGAAAAAUCCUCUGAAGAUCCCUAAAUUGAGAUAAAAGUUGUCAAAGCCUAACAUGAUCCAUAUGAGAAGGAAUGCGACUCAAAUAGCAAACAUUAUUGUAGUACUGUUGUGGUAUCAAUCCCGUUAUUUUCCUCUAGAGCCUCAAUUCAUUUUUCUACUUUUGUGUUUGUAUGUUGAAAAAGGGAAUGAGGUCGAGGAGCUUGUUGAAGGUGUGGAUGUUGCGAGGUGGCGACACUGAAACGCUACGACGAUGUUGUUGCCGAAGAUCUAGGUAGAGUGGAUGGGUGGUAGAAAAAAUUUAGCUUGGGGUUUAUAUGACGGGGAGAAUCUUAUCAGUAAUGAAACGACCUUGUUUUGUAGAUUUUCUUUUUUUGUUUAACAUUUUUUUUGACAAAUUAGUUUCAAAUAUUAGUUGGUUAUGAAAAAAAUACAAUAAACUCUUCA